GGUCCCGUAGUUCAACGGAUAGAACGGAAGUUUCCUAAACUUUAAAUACAGGUUCGAUUCCUGUCGGGAUCA
rnacentral:tRNA from 1 species